UUGCUUGAGGCAAUACUCCAGACUGGGUGGAGCUGGAUGGAUGCAGGAGGGCAAGCAAGCUGCUCCACAUGGGAGAAGCCGACAAAGACAUUGGAAAUCACCCUUAUCUUACUCACAGAUGAGUAUCAGCCUGUUUUCCACUCUGCCAAGCAUACUACAUUGAUUUCAGCAACUGCAACUGUUCCUGAAAUGUCCUGUAGGUCUCUCCUUUCCCUUCCAGCCCAGAUUUUACCCUGAGACCAUAAGCCUGGCAACAGUGUUGGACCAAAGGCUCAGCUACCCCAGCAUCCCAUCAUAAUGAAUAUCCCAGAGAAGGUGCUUUAACAUGUGCACGCAGAGAAAGGUUAUCUUUGGUCAGACCCUGACCAUUUGGAGAGGAGGAUGGAGCCCCGGAGGCUGCACUGUCCCAGUAAAUGGUGCAGUUGAGCAGUUUGUUUGGUGGAAGGAGCACCAGGCUGAGGUCAAAGAGGCACAGGAGUCUUCUGGAAGCACCUUGGACCUGGAACCACAUGUAGAAGCCACAGUGGCUGCAGCUGCUUGUGAAGAUGGACUGUGAAUUUGCAAUUAUGAGUAGAACAACCAGAAAGGUGUGGAGAGAUACUGUAGAAUCCUUCCUGCAGUCUGCACCCUGGAAGCCCUCGGCAGUGUGGGAGUUUCUAGGCUUUACCAGUACAAAAAUGACCAACACCAAGUUGAAAAGUGCCCAAAAUAAAACAAACUUAAGAUAUAAGUCACCUUUUCUCACCAAAGCAAAUAUAUACUCCCAUGAUGCUGAAGUGGAUUCUUGACUUCUUCACAUUAGAAAAUCAGGCAAGGUGAUAUGCAGAGGACUUGUUGCACAAAUUCCAGUGAACAUCACAUUCCCAAAUAACAGCCUUCAAUACCAGGAAGCCUCUUAAGGAGAAUAAGAUAAUUUGCAGGAGUACCUUGCUACUCCACUUAACAUAUGUGUUGCGUAACUGACUUUUUUGAUGGGAUCUUUACUUUAGAAAAGCAAACAGAUGUAUAGAUAUAUUCUGCUGAGAGGUUGUAGCAUGUUGCUACUGGCUUUACCUGAGAGGUUUGGCCAAAUGAUGGAUGUGCUGCAUCACAUUGAUGAAUGGGACAAGAUAUUCCUCAGAGCUGAUCCUACAUGUCCAAGUAAGAGAAGUCAGAAAACAAGGGGUACAGACCCAUGUUUGCAUUUCCAGCCCAGCACUCUGCCCAAAAGAAGUUGUCUCUUGUGUUUUCUUCAAGCCACUGUGUUUGGAGUUGCAGAUCUGCUUAUCUUUCAACUCUUCCAGACCUUUCUUAUUCUCUCAGACAGCAGAGACAGAAGAACCCAUAAGCAUCUUUGUCCUGUGCUGCAUACAUGCCACCCAUGCAGAUGGGGGUCCCCAUUUCAAUUACCUAAGGCCAUAGGAGAGCAUGGUCCUCAUGGGACUGCCCUGUCCUGAUUUACAAACCCAUAUGGAAGAGGGUCAGCUCCCAGCUUGCUGUGAGAAAAUUUGGGAUGUAUGAGCAAGGCUGGUGGCUAUUUUCCAGACCUUUAUAUUUCAGCUGAUACUUUUGUCCCUGAAAGGACACUGGGAAUGGCACUGAGAGCCUCAAGGUCUGGGAAGGAACCCCUCACCCACCCUCCUGUAGGAGUACAACUGCUUCUUACCUCUAACCCGAAUGAGCCCUGCCCAGCCCAUAACACUACAAAUAAUCUGACACGUUGGGCCAAAUCUUUCUCAACGCAAACACUCAACUCCUCAUAUGAGUGGGAGUCCCCCAUCAGCACUGAGGUCAUUACUGAAGCUAAUUAAACACUUUCCAGUCCCUUCCCUCUUCCUCACCUCUCCACUCUCCUAACCAAUUUCCCCUUCACAUGCUAUAUUAAGAUCAUAUGUAGAAAAUCCAAUGCAUUAUCCUCAGGAUUAAGUAGCAUUAGCAGAAUGUAUUAACACGUUGCUGCUGUGUUUGUAUCGGGGGCAUAUUUAUUCUCUGCAGGCACUAAGUAUUCUCUGCAAUUCCCUGUGCAGGGAAGGUGGGUAGCAUACCAAAGCCGUGCGUUUAGAGGUUCUGGAACACUUUAACUACAGAUAUAUUAAGGAAUUUGCCUCAGGAAUGUAAACAGCUCCAAAGGGUUUUGUGAGCCAAGGAUAUUAAUUUUAAUAGAGUUCUCUUUCAUGCACACACAUGUAUAUGCACACAUACGUGCUCACACCCUUCUGCCUAUACCCCUACGUAAAUAUACAACAAAAAACAAUGUUUCUAAGGCACUAAUAAUAGGAAAUGCUCUUUCCACGGAGAUAAAAAAUUCACAUUUAUUUGGGGUGGAGUGGGAGGUUAUUCACUGGUCAAACAAGGAGGUAUCCAUUCAAGAUACAAUAUUAAAGGAUGACCUGGGUUUAGCUGCAAUGCGUGGAAAGUGUACAUAAAAUAUACCUCUGAGGAGGUUAAUAUGGUUAAAUAAAUUUACCAGAACAAAGAACAUCUUGACCUCAGGAAAAAAACCUCAGAUCUAAUCUUGUCAGGCAUUUAUUAGAACUUUGGGUCAUCUUAAUCUUCCAGUGCAGAUUGUUUACUCCUUGUAUUUUUGUGCAGGUCUCAGACAUCCAAAUUAAAUGUUUUCACAGGUCCUGGUCAGUCAAUUCUAGCUGUAAGCUUUGCCAUACUCUCCUUUCAGACUUGGACUAAAACUGCGCCUAAUUUUUUUAGCAAAAUUUUAGGUGCAGGGCAUAUACAUCAGGAUUUCAGUAACUGCAGACAUUUAAUAAUCCUUGAGAACCACGUAGUUAAACAGUGUAUCGACCAGUUUCUGCACAUGCACUCAGUUGCCCGGCCCAAGAAGUCAGGUACCUGUUCACCCAUGUUCACUUGAGGUCUCGAAAGGUCCUGCUCUGUUUUUUUGUGCCUGGCAAGAUCUUCAUCAUCCUGGAAAAAUCAAACCCCUCUCAAAAGCAAAGUAUGGCCAUUCCUGUUAAAAAGUGAGUACUGAUGCUCUUAGUGUCCACCUCUCAGAUAACACUCAAUGGUUAAAGUGUUUGCCCAAGAAAUGGGGGCUCACAAAUUCCCGUUGAGGUUUGAUAUUGAAUGGUAGGAACCACCAAAUGCCAAGAUGACAUGGGAUAGUAUAUCAAGCCAGAGUUCUAGUGUCAAAAGACAGAGUGCCAGGAGCAUGUCUAAUUCCAGAGCAGUCACAGCACUCCCAACAGGUGGGAUUAUCCAGUGUUCUGGUCAACAUGUAGAGCCCACCCACUCCAAGAACCCCUGACUGUUUUUGGUAGGACACUUGCUGCAUUACAUGUGUUCUGAGGAUGCCUAAGGCACUGGGUCAUGCAGGCAAGCCUCUGCCGAGCUGCUGGAAAUUCCUGGAGAGCUUGGGAAGGAUGUAAACACUGACUGACUCAGCCUAGACACCUCUGGAUGGACACAUUGGCCACAGGAGGAAAAGACCUAGGAGUGCACAUAGCCAGAAGGGGAAGGCUGGAGGAUAUGGCCUCAGCCAUAACACCUGAUCCAAAGCAGAUGGGCCACUCCAUCUGGUGCUUACUGGGGUGCCUUCAGUCACCAAGGAAUCAUGCCUGAAAAGUCUAAUGAAUUUAAGUACCCAAAAGUAGAAAGUCUUUUUGGUUGAUUUUGGAACAUUGUCUGUUUCUAGCCCACUGGUCCUUUAUUGGAUAGGGUGGGACUGAAUAGGAUCAACUGCAAGCUCUCAGUUCAUUUUUAUAUAAACUGGACUGACACCUAAGCAACAACUGCAGGGAGGCAUGGUACUCAUUUAUGAACAACUGCUCUGGGAUUGAACUUUCCACCUUCAAGAUCUAGCUCAAAUCCGAAUUUUCUUCAGUCUAAGUGUCUGGGAUAUGAGGGGUUUUCAAGUACAUUUAGAUUAAGGAAACCAAAUUUUAUUAUAUUUUCUCUGUUGUAUAAUACAAAUUUCUCUAUUGAAAUAAGGAGUCAAAAUAAUUCCGUUAUGUAUAGAUCCAUAGUUUCAGUUCAUGUCCAUCUUAAAUUUUAAUUUGGCCAUUUGAAUUCUUAUUGUGUUUUAAUUUUACUCUUUUUUGCUAGUGGACUAGAGAGUCCUGUGUUUAACAUGCUUUAAAGGCAAUAAAUUAGUUAAUAAACCAAAACGUAUUUAAAAGACUAAAACUAUUGUAAAAAACCACAACCAACCAAACAAAAAAACCCCAACAACAAAGCAAUUGGUUUUUGAUAACAAUUGAUUGGAGACUGUUCCUAAAACAUUGUACAGCAUGAAUUGCCAAACUGUCACUCUUCCUUGUUCAAAUUUGCUCUUCUUCUUAAAACUAUUAAGUUAAGGAAGUUCAUGUUUGUUUACAACCUGUGAUAAAACACAGGAAUACCUUACUCUGAUUUUUGCCCAGGUAGAGGCUUAAGAUUUUUUCUCUUUUCUAAACUUUAUUGAGUUUAUGAGUAUUGUUGGGUGUUUUUUUGUUUGGUUGGGAUUUUUGGGGUUUUUUUUUGGUGUAUUUUGUUUGUUUGUUUGUUUUUUAAUAGGGGUGGCAUCUCACAAAACCCUCAUCUCAAGUAUCCAUGCAAAUACCAUAGAAAGAGAGUGGGAGGGGAAGGGAAUUCUGCACUCCCUGCAAAAAGGAGGGAUGGAAACAUGCUUCUGAAAGAUUCUUAGCGGCCUAAUUCUAACCAUUUAUCUCAACGUGACUGUGGCAGGAGAUUUCAUUAACAGGCACCUCUAAGGAGGCACUGCACCAAAUUCUUAGCAGCCCUUCACACCUAAGUCCUAUGUGACAUCUGCAGCAGCCCCAAGCUCAGGUGGGCACAUGAGGUUGGUAUUUGGGGGCCCAUGUAGGUGUGAGCUGGUGCUGCAACUCCAGCACCUCCACAGCAACUAGAUGGAGACUUUCAUCCCUUGGUCAAUAUGCAGAAGCUGAUCUGCCUUUUCCCGAGUGGUGGGCAGUAUUGCACUUAAAACAGCAACAGAAACAGGUGUGAGUUUUUUGAGAGUUUUUUGAGAGUCUCCGUGCAGAAACCAAAAAUCAUGCACCUCCCAGCUGCAGGAAAAAAAAACAGUUCAACUUCUGGCAGCCUCAUUCAGGCAGAUUCUGUUUUUUCUUGGCAGUAGUAAUACCAGCAUAAACAAACAUUAGUAUCGUCACUGGGGCUUUUUCUUUAUUUUCUCAAAUUUUGUGAAAGAAAUGCUUGGUUGCUUUAUGAGAUACUCAAAGCCUGUGACUAACCAAAUCCUGAUUUUUAAUUUGUACUGGCUCUUCUGGUUGUGGUGAAAAUGCUGAAGGAUGGUAGCCUUGGGCUGGCACAGUGUGUUCUUCACCAUGGACAGGCAGAGCAGGAACUGGUGGGCUCCACUCUGUUCUCACCAUAUGGGAUGCUCAGACAUUUUAAGCCAGAGCAAGCAAAGUCUUUCCACACACCUCUUAUAAACUAGCUGCUAGGUCUCACUAUAGUAUCUGCUCUCAUAAAAGGGGUUCAGAUUCUCUCCCUCUUUCCCCACCUAAAUGUGUGAUAUCUAGUGCAAACUAAUCUUGUACUCUACCUCUGUAAUCAGUGGAGAAAGUAAACACAAGGGAGGGCAAUUCAGCUCCUUUUAGACACUCCUUUAAGAGUGAGAUGGAUUAUCUUGCAUAUGUGUCUCUGCAUUGCCUGCAAAUGACAGAUGUCUUUUUGCAGAGAUGAAUCUCACUUUUAAAUCAUACAGAUGAGUUCCAAAUGAGAGGCAACGCCCGCUACUCUCACUUCUCGCAACUCUGCACUGCAGCUCAGCUGUCUCAGCAGUGUAUGAGAAAAACAUCUGACCCUGUGACACUUGUCAACAUUACAACUCCCCGACUGCCCCUGCCCUGGGAAGGGCUAAGCCCUUUGCGUUUACGUAAAAUUUUGCUGAGUGUGUAUUUAUAUCUGUUAUUCAUUAAAUCAAUUCACCUGACUGGAGAGCUGCCACAAAAAAAUCUUGGUACUUUUUUUUAAAAGGAGGGUUUAUAGUUAGCAAAGCUGUUUGUUUUAUCUACAAUAAAAGCCUUCCUUCAGGAUUGUGCGAUCACAAUUUAGGGUGGUUACUGAUAUUUUUUUAAAGCUUAGAUGUCGUUUCAAUUUAUUGAUUAUAAACACAAGGGGAAACCACAGUCCAAGUACCAAGAAAAACUCAUAAUAGUUUUUCUACAUCUGAAGAUCCCUAGAACUUCUGGCGCUUUAUGCUUUCCAUGUUGUGUCUGUUGUCCUAUUUAAACUUCUGUGUAGAGGGGCUCAGUGCAAUUUCAAACCUAAGCCCCAUCGAGACUCACAAUGUGGACAACUCCUUGUUUUUCUCAGCUGCGGGGUUUGGCCAUGCAGGAGACAGCCAUGGUUAAUCUUGUUGCUUUGCCCUGUGACAUUUUUGGAACAUUACAGCUUCCUAAGGUUUUAUUCUGUCCCUUUCCUGAUGUCUAUUCCACUUCUUGCAACUAUAUUUUGCUCUUCCCUCCCUGUCAUUUCUUUGCUCUGUUAGCUUUCCCUAAAAAGAGUGUGAAUCAUAACCUUGAAGCAUCUCUCUCUCUCUCCUUUGGCUUGCUCGGACUUACUGCUUGCCCACAAAGCUGGUCAAACAUAAUUGAAAUUAAUCACAUCCAAACUGCCAAUGCUCUUUAACCAGAAACUCAUUAGCAUGAUCUAGUCUUGUGUCCCUGUUUUCUUCAGAAGAGUUCACCCCUGCCCAGAGAUUAUUGUAAUUAGUGGUCUACAGGAUGUUCCCUUGUACAACUGCUCCAAUUAUGUUUAAUCAGUAACACUGCACAUGCAACAAUUAAUUAACAUUAAAACAGAGAGAGCUUGACAUUGUGACUCAUUAGUUUGGUAGUCUUUGGUCUGCCAUUCAUGUAUUUUAUUGUCUGUAUUCUAUGGAGCAAAUCUUUUUUGAAAGCUGGUUCAAGGUGUCAGGACUUGACUCCCAUUCCAGUAAUACCAGUAUUUAGCUUAAAACCCAAGAUCACUAUUUACCAGCACUCCAAGUCUGCUGUGAAGGUCUUCAGUAGUUGCUGAAGCCAAAUGAGCUUGUCUGGGGUAGAAGGUGACAUUAUGCAAUGUGGUUAAGCUACUGAACAGCUGGAGGAGAGGUGAGACAAUGUCAUCAGUGCACAGAGGAGAAAAUCAGGGACAUCACAGCCUGUGCACACACCCAUCAUCCCCAAGAAGCAAUGCUUUGCACUGCCAGCCUGUAGAAAACCACCACAAACACACUCAAAUAUGGGCCAGUGACACAAUAUCACUACAUCUCAGGUCAGGUAAGGGCCUUUCUUUGGCUGCUGCCUGCAAGUGCUGCUCCUGUAUUUAAAGUGAACCUGUCACUUGAUAGGACGCAAGUCAAUGGACUGUGGUUUUUCAUGCCUGUUUGAGAAGCCUCCAUAUCCUAUGCAAGACACGCUUCUUUGUAUAAAAAGUGAAUUUCCUUCCAUCAACAAACUAAUUGAUGCAUGGAAAAGCACAAGUUAAAAGCUGAAAUUUUUCAACAGCAUGUCUAAAACUUUCUUAUCCUGUUUUGAGAAAUGAUGUGUCAGAGGACACUUUGAAGGAGGAAAAAGUGUGUCUAAAGCACUUGAAGUUCACUUUCUCCCUGAAAUCCGAUAUGGUGCUCUUCUUCACCAUGGACACUCAGCAUGUACCAGGAAGGUAGAACAGAAUAAUGGGCUUUUGUCACUUUCCAAAGAAAAAUACGAAGUGCAAUAGGCUUUUUCCUUCUUUCAUUAAAAAGAAAAUUUAUAUAAAAUUUUGCCAGCAAAAAUAAUUGCAAACCUGUAGGGAGGAUAAUGAUAAAAAUAAGUAUCUCAGAUUCCUUGUGGCCUGGCUAAAACAAUAUUCUUUCCUUAAUCUUCAUUACAAACAAUACGAAGAGCAAAAUCCAGAAGAAACAGAAAUACAUGAGAUUGCUGAACACGAGUUGGUCUUCUGGUCAAUGCUGCACAUUAUCUGGCCCCUCUCCUGGCUACAUUUUGAUGAUUAAGGUUGUGGGAAGGUGCAUAAUCAUUCAAGGACUGUACAGAUUCAACCUGCCAGCAGCAGCCAGCCCUGUCUACACAGCUGUGGUUCACAGAUUGAUGGGAUCCACCAUCUUCAUCGCAUCCAUCACAUAAAUCCAACCAGUUUCCUUGAGUAGCCUGAGCAGAGCUGUUAAUAAACAGCAGUCUUUCUGUAACAUUGCUCUUUAUGCUUUUCUUCACUCAAAUGAGUUUUGUUAGCUUAGACCUUGCUACCCUGCUGUCAGCAGUGCUGCCGUAAUCAUCUGUGAAAGGGCUUAAGUGGACCGCCAGUUUCAAUCUUCAGAGAUAUGCUCAGGCUGAUCAUAAAUGCGCUAUUGUAGGACAGAUACAACAUAAUCCUGACAAACAGAUCUGGCCCCCAAAUUUAUCUGUGUUUUUGAUUAUAUUUGUUCUAAUAAUACCAUGAAAGUUACUCUUUGGGAUUCGAGAAUUGAAAAUGAAGAGUUUUUCUCUUUAAGAAGAAAAAAACACUGAAAUUUUUUAAUGAAAGAAAGACAUGAGGAGAGGGAGAGGAAAAAAAUGAGGUUUUAUGGAACCUUUUCAUUGGAAAAAAUGCAGUAUUUUAAUAAUAAUAAUAAUACAUCCAUGCACAUGUGAUCCCUUUUCAGGAAUCAGUGCUCAGGGAAGAAUGGAAUAAGAGCAGCACAACCAGAGUUCCCCUCCCUCAGUGGAAGGUUUCUGUGUGACAGCAGGUCUGCAAUGCCCCAACAGGUCUCGCCAUCACUUGGAGCACCAGCUGCCUUCUCCCAAGCACUGGGGCAGCCAAAGUGUUGCCACUCUUAAUGAAAAUUUGGCAAGAGGAGCUUGGUAGAGCAGCCUCUUGCCAGUCCUGGCCUUCCUGGCCAUCAGGAGGGGAACUGUGUUUGCAGUGGCCAUGGGUCCACUUCCACUCAUGCCUUUGAACAGAACAUCUCCAGACACCUUCCAGUAUUGCUUGUUGUUUUCUGGGCUGCUCUGCUUGGUGUCCUUCUCUGGUGCCCUCUUCAUCUUUGUCCUAAGCCACUAACCUUCACAUCCUUCCUCUUUUUCUGGGGUUUUCCCCAUAAUCAGUAGUUUUUCUCAGCCUCCAUUA